rnacentral:rRNA from 1 species
AGUGAACGCUGGCGGUAGGCCUAACACAUGCAAGUCGAACGGCAGCACAGUAAGAGCUUGCUCUUACGGGUGGCGAGUGGCGGACGGGUGAGGAAUACAUCGGAAUCUACUUUUUCGUGGGGGAUAACGUAGGGAAACUUACGCUAAUACCGCAUACGACCUACGGGUGAAAGCAGGGGAUCUUCGGACCUUGCGCGAUUGAAUGAGCCGAUGUCGGAUUAGCUAGUUGGCGGGGGAAAGGCCCACCAAGGCGACGAUCCGUAGCUGGUCUGAGAGGAUGAUCGGCCACACUGGAACUGAGACACGGUCCAGACUCCUACGGGAGGCAGCAGUGGGGAAUAUUGGACAAUGGGCGCAAGCCUGAUCCAGCCAUACCGCGUGGGCGAAGAAGGCCUUCGGGUUGUAAAGCCCUUUUGUUGGGAAAGAAAAGCAGCAGGUUAAUACCCCGCUGUUCUGACGGUACCCAAAGAAUAAGCACCGGCUAACUUCGUG